AGCAGCCGCGGUAAUUCCAGCUCCAAUAGCGUAUAUUAAAGUUGUUGCAGUUAAAAAGCUCGUAGUUGAAUUUCGGGAUCAAUAUAUCGGUCGUGCCAUUGGUACGUACUGGUAUCAUUGGUUUCUCCUUUCUGACGAACCAUGAUGUCAUUAAUUUGGUGUUAUGGGAAGUUAGGACUGUUACUUUGAAAAAAUUAGAGUGUUUAAAGCAGGCUUCAGCUUGAAUACAUUAGCAUGGAAUAAUGAAAUAGGACGUUCGAACCUAUUUUGUUGGUUUCUAGGAUCAACGUAAUGAUUAAUAGGGAUAGUUGGGGGCAUUAGUAUUCAAUUGUCAGAGGUGAAAUUCUUGGAUUUAUUGAAGACUAACUACUGCGAAAGCAUUUGCCAAGGAUGUUUUCAUUAAUCAAGAACGAAAGUUAGGGGUCGAAGACGGUCAGAUACCGUCGUAGUCUUAACCAUAAACUAUGCCGACUAGGGAUCGGACGAUGUUAAUUUUUUAAUGACUCAUUCGGCGCCUUAC
rnacentral:rRNA from 1 species